UCUUGGUCCAUUAGAGGAAGUAAAAGUCGUAACAAGGUUUCCGUAGGUGAACCUGCGGAAGGAUCAUUACAGAGUUCAUGCCCUCGCGGGUAGAUCUCCCACCCUUGAAUACUUAUACCUUUGUUGCUUUGGCGGGCCGCUUCGGCUACCGGCUUCGGCUGGUGAGUGCCCGCCAGAGGACCCAAAACUCUGAAUUAUAGUGUCGUCUGAGUACUAUAUAAUAGUUAAAACUUUCAACAACGGAUCUCUUGGUUCUGGCAUCGAUGAAGAACGCAGCGAAAUGCGAUAAGUAAUGUGAAUUGCAGAAUUCAGUGAAUCAUCGAAUCUUUGAACGCACAUUGCGCCCCUUGGUAUUCCGAGGGGCAUGCCUGUUCGAGCGUCAUUAUAACCCUCAAGCUCAGCUUGGUGUUGGGGCCUGCUGCAGUGGCAGCCCUUAAAAUCAGUGGCGGCGCCAUCUGGCUCUAAGCGUAGUAAUUCUUCUCGCUAUGGAGUCCUGGUGGAUGCUUGCCAUCAACCCCCAAUUUUUCUAUGGUUGACCUCGGAUCAGGUAGGGAUACCCGCUGAACUUAAGCAUAUCAAUAAGCGGAGGAA
rnacentral:rRNA from 1 species